AUGCCUCUCCUUAAUGUCAAUAUGCCUUGUCCAUUGCUGUUCUGGUUAGUGUUUAUUGGCUUAUUUCACUGUAGAGCCUCUAGCCCUGCUCAUUAUACCUUAUCCAACCUCUCAGUUCCACCACCCACACAUGCGAUGACAUCACCUGGUUUCAAUGAUGUUUCUAGAGACAAUAUCUCUCUCAUAAUCACUCAAUGCCUAGGUUUACCUCCACUGCAUUCACAUCCUACCAUACCUUUGUCUGUACAUUAUACCUUGAAGCUAUUUUAUCGGCCCCAGAAACCUGCUCCUUUUACUCUCUGUUCCGGACGUACUAGACUACCAAUUCUCAUAGCUUUUAGCCGUACCCUUAGCCUACUCCUCCUCUGUUCCUCUGGCGAUGUAGAGGUGAAUCCAGGCCCUGCAGUGCCUAGUUCCACUCCUAUUCCCCAGGCGCUCUCUUUUGAUGACUUCUGUAACCGUAAUAGCCUUGGUUUCAUGCAUGUUAACGUUAGAAGCCUCCUCCCUAAGUUUGUUUUAUUCACUGCUUUAUCACACUCUGCCAACCCGGAUGUCCUAGCCGUGUCUGAAUCCUGGCUUAGGAAGACCACCAAAAACUCUGAAAUCUCCAUCCCUAACUACAACAUUUUCAGACAAGAUAGAACGGCCAAAGGGGGCGGUGUUGCAAUCUACUGCAGAGAUAGCCUGCAGAGUUCUGUCCUACUAUCCAGGUCUGUACCCAAACAAUUUGAACUUCUACUUUUAAAAAUCCACCUCUCUAAAAACAAGUCUCUCACAGUUGCCGCCUGCUAUAGACCACCCUCUGCCCCCAGCUGUGCUCUGGACACCAUAUGUGAACUGAUUGCCCCCCAUCUAUCUUCUGAGUUCGUGCUACUAGGUGACCUAAACUGGGACAUGCUUAACACCCCGGUCAUCCUACAAUCUAAGCUUGAUGCCCUCAAUCUCACACAAAUUAUCAAUGAACCUACCAGGUACCACCCCAAAGCCGUAAACACGGGCACCCUCAUAGAUAUCAUCCUAACCAACAUGCCCUCUAAAUACACCUCUGCUGUUUUCAACCAAGAUCUCAGCGAUCACUGCCUCAUUGCCUGCAUCCGUAAUGGGUCAGCGGUCAAACGACCUCCACUCAUCACUGUCAAACGCUCCCUGAAAGACUUCAGCGAGCAGGCCUUUCUAAUUGACCUGGCCCGGGUAUCCUGGAAGGAUAAUGACCUCAUCCCUUCAGUAGAAGAUGCCUGGUUAUUUUUUUUAAAUGCCUUCCUCACCAUCUUAAAUAAGCAUGCCCCAUUCAAGAAAUUUAGAACCAGUAACAGAUAUAGCCCUUGGUUCUCUCCAGACCUGACUGCCCUUAACCAACACAAAAACAUCCUGUGGCGUUCUGCAUUAGCAUCGAACAGCCCCCGUGAUAUGCAACUUUUCAGGGAAGUUAGAAACCAAUAUACACAGGCAGUUAGAAAAGCCAAGGCUAGCUUUUUCAAGCAGAAAUUUGCUUCCUGCAACACAAACUCAAAAAGGUUCUGGGACACUGUAAAGUUGUUAGUGAAUAAGAGCACCUCCUCUCAGCUGCCCACUGCACUGAGGAUAGGAAACUCUGUCACCACCGAUAAAUCCAUUAUAAUUGAGAAUUUCAAGAAGCAUUUUUCUACGGCUGGCCAUGCUUUCCACCUGGCUACCCCUACCCCGGUCAACAGCAUUGCACCCCCCACAGCAACUCGCCCAAGCCUUCCCCAUUUCUCCUUCUCCCAAAUCGAGUCAGCUGAUGUUCUGAAAGAGCUGCAAAAUCUGGACCCCUACAAAUCAGCCGGGCUAGACAAUCUGGCCCCUUUCUUUCUAAAAUUAUCUGCCGAAAUUGUUGCAACCCCUAUUACUAGCCUGUUCAACCUCUCUUUCGCGUCGUCUGAGAUUCCCAAAGAUUGGAAAGCAGCUGCGGUCAUCCCCCUCUUCCAAGGGGGGGACACUCUUUACCCAAACUGCUACAGACCUACCCUGCCUUUCUAA
rnacentral:lncRNA from 8 species